AAACGACUCUCGGCAACGGAUAUCUCGGCUCUCGCAUCGAUGAAGAACGUAGCGAAAUGCGAUACUUGGUGUGAAUUGCAGAAUCCCGUGAACCAUCGAGUCUUUGAACGCAAGUUGCGCCCGAGGCCUUCCGGCCGAGGGCACGUCUGUCUGGGCGUCACGCA
rnacentral:rRNA from 1 species